AAGAGGGUGGUCGAGUGGUCAAUGGCGGCAGACUGUAAAUCUGCUACGUAUUACGUUACGUAGGUUCAAAUCCUACCCCUCUCA
rnacentral:tRNA from 1 species